rnacentral:misc_RNA from 1 species
AAGUCGUAACAAGGUUUCCGUAGGUGAACCUGCGGAAGGAUCAUUACCACAUCCAAAAAAACUAUCCACCCACAUGUGUGCACUGUUUUUCUUUGCCAGUUGCCCCCUUUUCGCGAGAAGGCUUGUAAAAGAGCCGUUUCAAAAAAAAAGGGGACGGCUGGCAAGGGAGCAUGUUUCAAAAAACCACUGUGAAACUUUCUUUUUAACAACCAAUUCAAACCAAACAAAAACGAAACUUGAGAGACAACUUUUAACGAUGGAUCUCUUGGCUCGU